rnacentral:rRNA from 1 species
UUAAAAAGCUCGUAGUUGGAUUUCGGUUAAGAGCGACCGGUCCGCCGUUUGGUGUGCACUGGUUGGUUUUAACUUCCUGUAGAGGACGUGCUCUGGGCUUAACGGUCUGGACUCGGAGUCUACGUGGUUACUUUGAAAAAAUUAGAGUGUUCAAAGCGGGCUUACGCUUGAAUAUUUCAGCAUGGAAUAACACUAUAGGACUCCUGUCCUAUUUCGUUGGUCUCGGGACGGGAGUAAUGAUUAAGAGGAACAGUUGGGGGCAUUCGUAUUUCAUUGUCAGAGGUGAAAUUCUUGGAUUUAUGAAAGACGAACUUCUGCGAAAGCAUUUGCCAAGGAUGUUUUCAUUAAUCAAGAACGAAAGUUGGGGGCUCGAAGAUGAUUAGAUACCAUCCUAGUCUCAACCAUAAACGAUGCCGACUAAGGAUUGGCGGAUGUUAAUUGAUGACUCCGCCAGCACCUUAU